rnacentral:lncRNA from 1 species
GUUUGACUCAAUUUAGAUUCGAAUUGGAUUCGAAUUGGAGUGGAACUAAGAUAGAAAAUCAGAGUUCCAUUGGACUGGGAUUCCCUUCUCUUAUCCACCUCUAUAUGGAACGCCCAAUCUAUUUUUACCAUGGAGAAAAGAGGUGCUAAAAAGGGUUGGAGCAUAAGGGAAGGGAGGCGGCACCAAGAGUCCUCUUGGUGGGCUCUUAACCAACCACUAACAAACCCUAGAAUUUGGGUAUAAAAGGGUGCCUCCUUAGGAGAUUACACAGUUGAGUUUGUGGUGUGAAA